rnacentral:lncRNA from 1 species
UUUGAGUUUUCAGUGAAGUUUCUCCAGCACUAAGGCUGGAGCAGGAUUAGCAUUAGCCGCUAACUGCAGUGCUAGCUCUUUCGCUGUUCAGAGGUGAGUAUAUCGGACUGUAGUCUGUGUGUUUAACGUGUUAAAACAAGCUACGUGGGGCGAACCGCUAGCUGAUAGCGCCCUGGGUUACCAGAACACACUGGGUUUCUCGGUCUAGCGCUGCAAUUAGCGGCUAAUGCUGCUGCGCCCAGCCUUAGUGCUGGAGAAACUUCACUGAAAACUCAAACCUAGACACAAAAUACUGGAAAUCAAAGCUAAAAUUACUACUACACAGUUUUCAGGAGAGAAAUCUGUGUAGAUUAACAUCCAGCACUCGUUUAACUUUAAAAGAAAACGUGUUUUAAGAAUUACAGUUUUGUUUAUUUAGGCAUUUCCCCCAGCUUGACCAUUAGAGAGGAAACAUGGCGACACCCUUGCUCACUUCGAUGUAGCAUCCUUACUAGUGUCGUUUUUAAUGUGCCUUAUAAUUCAGUAAACCUUGUUGGCCAAAAAAAUAUGAUACAUAAUCAUUAAUAAUCAAUGCCAGAUCACCACAACUAAAUAAAUUACAUUUUUACACUUUUAUACCUUUUAAUAAUAAACCUUUACAGUAAUUGGCAUAUUUUUUUGCAUAAUUAAAUAUAAUUGGCAGUUUUAGUUAUAGUUUAUAGUAGGCCUGUAAAAUAAAAAAAACACCCCCAUAUCUGUAGUUCAAGUUGUGAGGUGCUAUCUUGUGAGUGAGGUUGAUAGAACACAAUGGUCAAUUUUGCUCUUGGCAAGGCCGUGUGAAUUAUAGGGGUUUGUGGGGGUGCCAGAUGUUUAGGGCAUUUUAGUUCUAGUUCCUGCAGAUACAUGGCUUUUGCUGUCCCGUGACUUUUGACAUGUCAGUGUGUGUUAUCGACAUGUGUUCCGUCCACAGCUGGAGAGAGCUGGACUCUGUCUGUGGGGUCUCGGUGGUACAGGUGGGCGCAGGAAGUCACCCCAAAUACCACUCUGACGUACCACACCAACCCAACGGUGUAGAAGCUGGAGGUGAAUGCGAGGUGGAGGAUCUCUCUGAUGGUGUGUUUCUGAAGAGGCAUGCUGUGUGUGAGAGCCGGGAGAGAAGCCGAUGGGGGAGCUGGGCUCGUCGACGCCGCCGGGGCAGGUAAAUGGACUGUGUGUGUCUGUGUGUGUGUUCACAGUGGGAGUGUGUAUGGGUGACUAGGAAAGACAUGAGAACAGGAUCGUACAGACUUGAUAUUAAUCUUAAAAUUAAAAUUAAUUUUAUUGAAUAAAAUGUUCAGUUAGCAGCA